rnacentral:misc_RNA from 1 species
AAGUCGUAACAAGGUUUCCGUAGGUGAACCUGCGGAAGGAUCAUUACCGAGUUAGGGUCUAUUCAGGCCCGACCUCCAACCCUGUGUUUACAUUACCAUGUUGCUUUGCGGCCGCCUCGGGCGCGGGGGUUUAUCAGCCCUUGCCCGCUGCCUCGCCUGUGGCCUUAUUAAAUUCUUUUUUAACUGUGAUGUCUGAGUCUAAAUAUAAAUCGUUAAAA